GCCGACGUAGCUCAGUUGGUAGAGCAAUCGAUUCGUAAUCGAUAGGUCGCAGGUUCGACUCCUGCCGUCGGCACCA
rnacentral:tRNA from 1 species